GGGUGUAGUCUGUGGGUGUGUCUGUGGGUGUAGUCUACAGGAGUAGUUACAACUUGAUCCACCUUAAUGAUUAAUCUUGGUAAGAAACUAGUUUCACAGGAAAACAAAUCACGAUGGUUGAGAGGCUGAGUCUCUAUUUGAGUCUCGAAUAAAAAUCAACUUGUUAUUAGUCGCAUAGCGUACACAUGUCUUUCAUAUGUUAUCACAGGUGCUUAUGUUUCUUUGAGCUCCAACAGGGCAGUAAUACCUAACAGUACAAAACAAUACACACAAAUCCAACAGUUGCGUUGGCAGGAAGAGGAGACGGGUACUCAGGUAUAGGAAGGUUCCAGGGUACUAGGCUGAGUGUUCUCUCUCUCCCUACCAAUAUCGUGUCAACACAGGUCAAUGUGGGCAACGCCAGGGUACACACCCUCACACUGUGCCAGAGGUCUGUAGGUUAUAGGGAGGUUCCAGAGUACUAGGCUUAGUGUUCUGUCUGCAGACUGGUGUCCUCGUUACCACCUACGUUCUGUCUCCCUACCAAUAUCGUGUCAACACAGGUCAAUGUGGGCAACGCCAGGGUACACACCCUCACACUGUGCCAGAAGUCUGUAGGUAUAGGGAGGUUCCAGGUGAAUGGGGAAGCCGUUCUCUCUGUAGAAGUCUGUAGGUUAUAGGGAGGUUCCAGGUGAAUGGGGAAGCCGUUCUCUCUGUAGAAGUCUGUAGGUUAUAGGGAGGUUCCAGGUGGAUGGGGAAGCCGUUCUCUCUGUAGAAGUCUGUAGGUUAUAGGGAGGUUCCAGGUGGAUGGGGAAGCCGUUCUCUCUGUAGAAGUCUGUAGGUUAUAGGGAGGUUCCAGGUGGAUGGGGAAGCCGUUCUCUCUGUAGAAGUCUGUAGGUUAUAGGGAGGUUCCAGGUGGAUGGGGAAGCCGUUCUCUCUGUAGAAGUCUGUAGGUUAUAGGGAGGUUCCAGGUGGAUGGGGAAGCCGUUCUCUCUGUAGAAGCCUGUAGGUUAUAGGGAGGUUCCAGGUGGAUGGGGAAGCCGUUCUCUCUGUAGAAGUCUGUAGGUUAUAGGGAGGUUCCAGGUGGAUGGGGAAGCCGUUCUCUCUGUAGAAUUCUGUCCUAAAUACAUGUUUUACCUCCCUCUGCCUCCUCCUUUCACCAUCCCAUUGCAAUCCAGACCAUUGUACACAGAGUGUACAAAACAUUAGGAACACCUUCGUAAUUUUGAGUUAGAGCAGGUGUUCAUAAUGUUUUGUACACUCAGAGUAUAUGGCCGCCAUGCAGCAUUUAAAACCACUUCAUCAUAUCCAAGGAUAAAUCAUGUGUUUUUAGUUUUUCAUCUAAGUGAUCAAUAAAGUAUCGCAUGGCAUAAACAAGUAUCUUAGUUUCUGCAGGAAAAUUUGCUCUACUCUGAAGAGGGAGGAAGGACCAGUUGACCACAGUGGCUUUAGCCAAAAGGCUUUUGACCCUUGUUUUGCAAUAGUCCUAUAAGCCCGACACACCCACAGCUAUCAAAACUACAUCAAGCACAGAGUGUUCCCUUUGCAAACAACACACACACACACACACACACACACACACACAGUAACGUGGAAUGGUGAUAGCUCUUCCAAUGUACUCUCGUCUUAUCUCUGUUAUUUAUAUAUCAUCACAAGAGAUAAAGGUACAAUGCCUUCAGAAAGUAUUCAGACCCCUUGACUUUCUCCACAUGUUGUUGUGUUACAGCCUGAUUUUAAAAUGGAUUGUGUGUUUUUUUGUGUGUGUCAGCAGAACCACACACACUACUCUGUAAUGUGAAAACGGAAUUGUUUUUCUCCAAUUAUUAUAAUUUUUUUUUUACUAAUUCAUUAAAAAAAUGUAAAUGCUGAAAUGUCUUGAGUAAUUGAGUUAAGUGUUCAAUUCCUUUGUUAUGGCAAGUCUAAAUAAGUUCAGAGGUAAAAAUGGGCUGAACAGGUCAUAAAUACAGUUUAAUUUACUAAUACUAAUUUCGGAAACCUUGAUGUCAUUUUACAAAACUCUAGACACAAAAUUCAAAACCAAUGACCAAAAUGCACAUUUUUCAGAACUCUUAACACUAUUUCGAAUUGCUUGGAUACAAUACACAUACAACUAAGAUAAUUUUUUCAUUGAACUAAAAUCACCUGUUCAAAAUGACACAACUUAACAUCCAAGUAUUACCAUUUCAAACUGCAAUUGGGGUGGCAGGAUAGCCUAGUGGUUAGAGCGUUGGACUAGUAACCGGAAGUUUGCAAGUUCAAAUCCCCGAGCUUCCCCUGAACAGGCAGUUAACCCACUGUUCCUAGGCUGUCAUUGAAAAUAAGAAUUUGUUCUUAACUGACUUGCCUAGUAAAAUAAGUGUUAAAAAAAUAAUAAUAAUUAAAUUCACACACUACAUCUGAGAUGAUUGUCUAUUCAUUUCAUUACAAUUAUCUUACUAUCAAUUGAUACAACUGCUCAAAAUGAUAAGUAACUGUUGCAUUAGUCUUAAUGCAUAGUUUUAUGGAAACUGACAAACAAUAUAGGGAUUUAGAUCAUCAUCAUCAUUUAGAUCAUGAAAGUUUCAGGAUAACGAGAUCCAUUGACAUCAAUUACCGUGGAACAUGAACCAAGUGGACGACAUUAUCUAUGGAUGUAAUAUUUCGUCAUCAUUCUUUAUCACACACUGUUUCUAUGGUCCCAUGUACUACUUUUCCAGACCAUGUUUUCAGAUUUGACAUGACUGUACACUCACCGGCCACUUUAUUAGGUACAUCUAUCUAGUACUGGGUAAGACCCCCUUUUGCCUCCACAACAACCUGAAUUAUUCACAGUGUUGUACGUUAAGAGAUGCCCUUUCUGUACACCACUGUUUAAAACAGCUGUUAUUUGAGCAUGUGUGGCCUUUCCGUUAGCUUGAAUGAGUCUGGACAUUCUCCCGUUGAUGUUUUACAGUAAGCCAGGUGAGGAACACUGCAGUUGAUGUUUUACAGUAAGCCAGGUGAGGAACACUGCAGUGAUGUUUUACAGUAAGCCAGGUGAGGAACACUGCAGUGAUGUUUUACAGUAAGCCAGGUGAGGAAUACUGCAGUUGAUGUUUUACAGUAAGCCAGGUGAGGAACACUGCAGUGAUGUUUUACAGUAAGCCAGGUGAGGAAUACUGCAGUGAUGUUUUACAGUAAGCCAGGUGAGGAACACUGCAGUGAUGUUUUACAGUAAGCCAGGUGAGGAACACUGCAGUUGAUGUUUUACAGUAAGCCAGGUGAGGAACACUGCAGUGAUGUUUUACAGUAAGCCAGGUGAGGAACACUGCAGUUGAUGUUUUACAGUAAGCCAGGUGAGGAACACUGCAGUGAUGUUUUACAGUAAGCCAGGUGAGAAACACUGCAGUGAUGUUUUACAGUAAGCCAGGUGAGGAACACUGCAGUGAUGUUUUACAGUAAGUCAAGUGAGGAACACUGCAGAUGAUGUUUUACAGUAAGCCAGAUGAGAAACACUGCAGUGAUGUUUUACAGUAAGCCAGGUGAGGAACACUGCAGUUGAUGUUUUACAGUAAGCCAGGUGAGGAACACUGCAGUUGAUGUUUUACAGUAAGCCAGGUGAGGAACACUGCAGUGAUGUUUUACAGUAAGCCAGAUGAGGAACAGCGCAGUUGAUGUUUUACAGUAAGCCAGAUGAGGAACACUGCAGUGAUGUUUUAUAGUAAGCCAGAUGAGGAACACUGCAGUUGAUGUUUACAGUAGUUUUUUUCUUUUUUUGUAGCUAAUUACUUUUGCUUUGAUUAAAAGAAACCUAUGAGUGAUUUUAUUGUAUUUCAUCAAUAAAUGUCAUAUUUUGUUCAAUGAUUCCACUGUGUCUGUAGUAUUCUCUCUACUAGUCCUUUUACAGGGAUGGAUUUACGUGUAGUAUCAUAAUGAAACAUGUAUCACAUAUUUUGUACUACAAUAUUUAAUGAAUGAACGAACAACUACACGGUGAAACUAUCGGUAUCUUGUGUAUGGGUGAUCUAAAUGAAUGUUCCUAUUGGUAUUUCAUGAUGAAUGAGUUAUUUGAACCAAUGAUUCUGCAAGUGCAAGGUUUCUUUAAAUAUAUGAACAACGCUUUGAGAGUUGGACAGCCUGUGUUAGCCUGGUCACGUUCUGACCAUAGUUAUUUUGUCUUUUCCUUGUUUUAGUGUUGGUCAGGACGUGAGCUGGGUGGGCAUUCUAUGUUGUGUGUCUGGUUUGUCUAUUUCUAUGUUUGGCCUGAUAUGGUUCUCAAUCACAGGCAGGUGUUAGUCAUUGUCUCUGAUUGGGAACCAUAUUUAGGUAGCCUGUUUUGUGUUGGGUUUUGUGGGUGAUUGUUUCUUGUCUUUGUGUCUAUGCACCAGAUAAGACUGUGUUCGGGUUUCACAUGUAUUGUUUUGCGUUCUGUUCAUGUUGAGUUACCUUAUUAAAAUAACAUGAACUCUAACCACGCUGCGUUUUGGUCCGCCUCUCCUUCCCAGGAAGAAAGCCGUUACAGUUACAAGUGAUGACCGUUUUGAGUUCUGUGUCUAGAGUUUUGAAAAAUGACCACAAGGUUCUGAAAUUAGUGCCAAAUGGAUUGUAAAAAAAAAAAAAGUUACAUGGACUUGAAAAUCUAUGGCAAGUCUUGAAAAAUGGUUGUCUAGCAAUGAUCAACAACCAAUUUGACAGAGCUUGAAGAAUUCUGAAAAGAAUAAUGGGCAAAUGUUGCGCAAUCCAGUUGCGGAAAGCUCUUAGAGAUGUACCCAGAAAGACUCACAGCUCUUAGAUAUUUACCCAGAAAGACUCACAGCUCUUAGAGAUUUACCCUGAAAGACUCACAGCUCUUAGAGAUGUACCCAGAAAGACUCACAGCUCUUAGAGAUGUACCCAGGAAGACUCACAGCUCUUAGAGAUGUACCCAGAAAGACUCACAGCUCUUAUAUUUACCCAGAAAGACUCACAGCUCU